rnacentral:rRNA from 1 species
AAACUUUCAACAACGGAUCUCUUGGUUCUGGCAUCGAUGAAGAACGCAGCGAAAUGCGAUAAGUAAUGUGAAUUGCAGAAUUCAGUGAAUCAUCGAAUCUUUGAACGCACAUUGCGCCCUCUGGUAUUCCGGGGGGCAUGCCUGUUCGAGCGUCAUUACA